rnacentral:rRNA from 1 species
GGUGCGAGCGUUAAUCGGAAUUACUGGGCGUAAAGCGUGCGCAGGCGGUUAUGUAAGACAGAUGUGAAAUCCCCGGGCUCAACCUGGGAACUGCAUUUGUGACUGCAUGGCUAGAGUACGGUAGAGGGGGAUGGAAUUCCGCGUGUAGCAGUGAAAUGCGUAGAUAUGCGGAGGAACACCGAUGGCGAAGGCAAUCCCCUGGACCUGUACUGACGCUCAUGCACGAAAGCGUGGGGAGC